rnacentral:rRNA from 1 species
UACAGAGGUCUCGAGCGUUGUUCGGAUUCAUUGGGCGUAAAGGGUGCGUAGGUGGCGCUGUAAGUCGGGUGUGAAAUUCUGGGGCUUAACCCCGGAACUGCAUUCGAUACUGCAGUGCUUGAGGACUGGAGAGGAGACUGGAAUUCAUGGUGUAGCAGUGAAAUGCGUAGAGAUCAUGAGGAAGACCAGUGGCGAAGGCGGGUCUCUGGACAGUUCCUGACACUGAGGCACGAAGGCCAGGGGAGCAAACGGGG